UCAAUUGUCUUAUAAUUGAAGACUGGAAUGAAUGGUUGAACGAAAUUAAAACUGUUUCAUUUGUAUUAAUUAGAAAUUGGUUUUUAAAUGAAGAGAUUUAAAUUUAAUUAAUAGACAAGAAGACCCUAUUGAGCUUAAAAUAACUUUAAAAUUAAAAAUUUAUUAUUAGAGAUUUAAGUUUUAAAUGUUUUUUAGUUGGGGCGACUAAGGAACAGGAGAAGCUUCCUUUAUUUGUUAAAUUGAUGAAUUUUGAUCCAGUAUUGAGCUGAUUAAUGGAGAUAGUUACCAUAGGGAUAACAGCAUAAUCUUCUUGGAGAGUUCUUAUCAAAAAGGGGGGUUGUGACCUCGAUGUUGGAUUAAAAUAUCCUAAGGGGUGUAGAGGC
rnacentral:rRNA from 1 species